rnacentral:rRNA from 1 species
UACAGAGGGUGCGAGCGUUGUUCGGAAUUAUUGGGCGUAAAGCGCGUGUAGGCGGCUUUGCAAGUCGGGUGUGAAAUCCCUCAGCUUAACUGAGGAAGUGCGCCCGAAACUGCCGAGCUUGAGUACCGGAGAGGAAGGCGGAAUUCUCGGUGUAGAGGUGAAAUUCGUAGAUAUCGAGAGGAACACCGGUGGCGAAGGCGGCCUUCUGGACAGUGACUGACGCUGAGACGCGAAAGCGUGGGGAGCAAACAGG